AGAGUUUGAUCCUGGCUCAGGAUGAACGCUAGCUACAGGCUUAACACAUGCAAGUCGAGGGGAAACGGCAUUGAGUGCUUGCACUCUUUGGACGUCGACCGGCGCACGGGUGAGUAACGCGUAUCCAACCUUCCCAUUACUGUGGGAUAACCUGCCGAAAGGCAGACUAAUACCGCAUAGUCUUCGAUGACGGCAUCAGAUUUGAAGUAAAGAUUUAUCGGUAAUGGAUGGGGAUGCGUCUGAUUAGCUUGUUGGCGGGGUAACGGCCCACCAAGGCUACGAUCAGUAGGGGUUCUGAGAGGAAGGUCCCCCACAUUGGAACUGAGACACGGUCCAAACUCCUACGGGAGGCAGCAGUGAGGAAUAUUGGUCAAUGGGCGAGAGCCUGAACCAGCCAAGUAGCGUGCAGGAUGACGGCCCUAUGGGUUGUAAACUGCUUUUGUAUGGGGAUAAAGUUAGGGACGUGUCCCUAUUUGCAGGUACCAUACGAAUAAGGACCGGCUAAUUCCGUGCCAGCAGCCGCGGUAAUACGGAAGGUCCAGGCGUUAUCCGGAUUUAUUGGGUUUAAAGGGAGCGUAGGCUGGAGAUUAAGUGUGUUGUGAAAUGUAGACGCUCAACGUCUGAAUUGCAGCGCAUACUGGUUUCCUUGAGUACGCACAACGUUGGCGGAAUUCGUCGUGUAGCGGUGAAAUGCUUAGAUAUGACGAAGAACUCCGAUUGCGAAGGCAGCUGACGGGAGCGCAACUGACGCUUAAGCUCGAAGGUGCGGGUAUCAAACAGGAUUAGAUACCCUGGUAGUCCGCACAGUAAACGAUGGAUGCCCGCUGUUGGUACCUGGUAUCAGCGGCUAAGCGAAAGCAUUAAGCAUCCCACCUGGGGAGUACGCCGGCAACGGUGAAACUCAAAGGAAUUGACGGGGGCCCG
rnacentral:rRNA from 1 species